rnacentral:rRNA from 1 species
GACGAACCGUGCGAACGUUGUUCGGAAUCACUGGGCUUAAAGGGGCGCGUAGGCGGCAGUUCAAGUCCGGGGUGAAAUCCUCCAGCUCAACUGGAGAAGUGCCUUGGAUACUGAAGUGCUCAGGGAGGUAGGGGCCCGCGGGAACUUCUGGUGGAGCGGUGAAAUGCGUUGAUAUCAGAAGGAACGCCGGUGGCGAAAGCGGCGGGCUGGAUCU